ACGAACGCUGGCGGCGUGCUUAACACCUGCAAGUCGAACGGAAAGGCCCUGCUUUUGUGGGGUGCUCGAGUGGCGAACGGGUGAGUAACACGUGAGUAACCUGCCCUUGACUUUGGGAUAACUUCAGGAAACUGGGGCUAAUACCGGAUAGGAGCUCCUGCUGCAUGGUGAGGGUUGGAAAGUUUCGGCGGUUGGGGAUGGACUCGCGGCUUAUCAGCUUGUUGGUGGGGUAGUGGCUUACCAAGGCUUUGACGGGUAGCCGGCCUGAGAGGGUGACCGGCCACAUUGGGACUGAGAUACGGCCCAGACUCCUACGGGAGGCAGCAGUGGGGAAUAUUGCACAAUGGGCGGAAGCCUGAUGCAGCAACGCCGCGUGCGGGAUGACGGCCUUCGGGUUGUAAACCGCUUUCGCCUGUGACGAAGCGUGAGUGACGGUAAUGGGUAAAGAAGCACCGGCUAACUACGUG
rnacentral:rRNA from 1 species